UACGGAGGGGGCUAGCGUUGUUCGGAAUUACUGGGCGUAGAGCGCGCGUAGGCGGACCUGCAAGUCGGGGGUGAAAGCCCGAGGCUCAACCUCGGAACUGCCUUCGAUACUGCGGGUCUCGAGUCCGGGAGAGGUGAGUGGAAUUCCUAGUGUAGAGGUGAAAUUCGUAGAUAUUAGGAAGAACACCAGUGGCGAAGUCGGCUCACUGGCCCGGUACUGACGCUGAGGCGCGAAAGCGUGGGGAGCAAACAGG
rnacentral:rRNA from 1 species